GGUUUGUCAUAACAAUAGGUCAGGUGAUUUUGAUAAAUAAAUAAAUUUAUAAAUAUACGUGUAUUUAGUUGUUUCACACGUACACACACCUAUAGUAGAUUUCAUUUUACACAAGUAAGUUUUUUUAUUAGAAUAUACAUUUUAAAUGCAUAACUUUACGUCGUAUUUUAUUAUUUAAUUUCACAUGUCUUGAUACGGUAACACUAUCACAUGCAGACUAUAUAAGGUUCACUGGUUCAUCGGUCUAACAAACGGAAAAAGAAAAAACUUCCUGUGUUUACACCAGUAGUUAGUACUUAUAUAUAGGUCCUUUGUUGAUAUGACCUAGGCGCCGUUUUACUAUUUAUUACUUUCAAGACACAUCUGGUCCGAGUACACAGUUAUUUCGCAGUGAAUUUCUUUUAGUCAAUAAACGAAAAUUAAAAAGAUCCCACCUGCGCUUUCUCAAUAAUAUUUUUACAGUGUGUUGUACUACUUUUGGGACAAAUUAAAUCAAAAUUACAGAUAACUUCAUCGGCUCUAACUCAAAAUAUGGAAAAUUUUAUGUUAAGGGUUUUUUUUUUUUUUAAAUUAUGUUUAAUUACGCGAGCAAAAUUUAAUGCACUACUCGACGGUUCCCAAGUGAAUAGCCUUCAUCUAUAGAUAUAUAUAUGGCUAGGAAUCUGACAUUCUGCAGUAACUGUAAUAUUUUCAAAAGUACUCAUAUGCAGUUGUGAUAAUACUAGAUUGAUUAAAACUCUAUUUUGUUUUUUUUUAAGGGGGUCUUGAAAUCUUUUGACAGUGCUAAUUUUUAACCUUUUUCAGCUGGACCCAAUCAAAUUGAUGACCCGAAUUUUUUGACAGUGUCAUUCCAUCCCCAUCCCACCAAACUUGCUAUUUGAGGCAUAAAACAUGGAGAAAAACAUUUGGAAGGGGAUUCAUAAAAAAUUGGCGAGUAACACACUGUCCUUACUAAGGACUAUAUGCGUACAACCACACACUACCAAUUUCAGUACGUACACGUGUUUCUUGAAGUUAAACUACUCCGAGGGGGGGGGGGGGGGGGGGGAGGGGGGCACUACAAACUCCUCCCCCCCCCCGCCCGAGAUAGCUACAGGUACAUACGUACGUUAUGGGCACAUUAUACGGACUUGGUGGGGUUAUCAAAAUAGACAGAAAAAAUAGGUUUAAAAAAAGGCAAACAAAAACUGAGACAAAUAUUAGUUAAAGAAUUUCGAAUGUUUGUGUGUUAAAAAUAAAGACUAGAGAAUAUGGGGAUAUGGGGAUAAAUACAUAAAUAAAGCAUAAAGAAAAAUGGCUCAAAAUACAAAAGAUAUAAAUGAAGAUCCCCUUCCAGACCCCCUGAUAGAAUGAGGUAAAUUCACUAUUACUUAUCAGCAACACGAAGGAUGACACAAGAGAAACAGACAUCUUUCUGGACCUGCUUAAGACCCUCUAGGGCACAUGACACCACCACUGGUUUCGAUGGGUUUGUGUUGCUCAGUUUAUAGUUGUCUAUGUUGUAUACCCUUGUUUGUCUUUUGGUCUAUUUCACUUUUUUGUUGCCAUAUAUAUAGUUUUAUUGGUUAAAAUUUAAAGAUAUGUGAUUUUGAUUGUCACAAUGUCAUCAUUCGCCUCUCUUUUUGGACGUCGAUAUUUAAAAGAUCCUUUCGCAAGCAUUGAAUUUAAAAAGCAUUUUACUAUUAAUUUUGUAUAUGUGCGCUAGAGAUACAAUGCAGUUACAAACACUUUAAUUGAAAUUUCACUAACCGAUUGCAAUGCAUUUGAGUUUUGUUUUCAGGACGAAAUAUGGAAUGAAAUAACAGUGUGUCAGGUAAAAUUAUUAAAUCCGAAUUUAACAAUGGUACCAGUUAAUAAUUAACGCCUGAUUAAAACCUUUGCUUGUGUCAUUGUAGAUUUUGAUAUGGUUCACGGAGGCGGACAUUGUUCUGGUGGUGGCGGAGGUGGUUUCAGCGGGGGUGGGGGAUUCAGUGGCGGAGGAUUCCGCACGACAGUCUACUCAAAUAAUUAUUAUUCGUCCCCUCGGAGUUAUGGUCGCGGAUCGGGAGGUUCAGAUGAUUGUGACUGUACUUGCUGUAAAUCGUGUUGUCUAGCAAUCACGUGUGUUUCGUUAAAACCAAAGUCACGCUUGAGAUUUCUUUGGUUUCUGGUUAUUGCAAUAACUUUAAUAAUUUCGUUAUCCGUCUCAUUUGGAACAUACGGAAAACAUACAACCGACACUUCUUCAAGCGACAUGCGACAUAUCUCUAACGGGAUUUCACCGAGAUUUUGUACCGGGGUUAAUGUCAAAAGUCAAAAUUACCCAGUAUCUGUGUACAUGUUACCAAACAAACCAGUCAUUAAUACAAAAAACAAAACUACCUUUACUUACAAUAAAUAUUCCAGUUUAGGGAGUCAGAUGUUUGAAUAUUGGGGUUUUUACCUAUUAGAAAAUUCGUUUGUGACAAUUAAAGCGUGUUCUAGUUACUCUAGAAAAGGAGUUGAUUAUUAUUUUGUUAAAGGAAAACAAAACUUACAAAGAUGGAAGAACGACAACUAUUGUGACUCGUGCUUUGAAUAUCAUAAGGCAACAGACGAAUGUAACGAUGGCAACUCUACUUUCCUGCAUAUUGCAUAUACAUCUGACGAAUAUUACUUUGUGUUUGCAAACCAUCAAGAUUAUUCGGAUCCAGUCAGCGUGACCGUUACAAUCGAACUAAAAAGAACGUACUAUGAUUUGUCGUCUGCCGUCCACAAAUGUAUGAAUUCUUACGAAUGUGAUGUGUCAUACACCAAUGACGAUUAUAGUGAAACUGUCGUCGUUGAAAUACCCCACAUCAAUACUGAAAACAUAGAAGUGGAUUCAACGUGUUACAGACGGGCCGGAGUUUUCGUGGGACUUUUCUUUAUCAUGCCACUGGGUAUCGGGAUUUCAAUAAGUGCUGUUAUUUACUUUGCUUGUAUUCGUAGGAGAACAAAACCGACAUCUACACCGUAUAGGGUAUUGCAAAAUCCAACAGGCGCACAAUACUCUACAUUCCCGGAAGCGUCGGCUCCAGUGAUGGAACGUGAUCAGGAGCUACCACCAGCGUAUCCGGGACCACCUUCGUAUGAAGAAUCGACAAAGACCGUCAAAAAGUAAAUGUAUCGAACAAUGAUCGAUUCAGACCAAAAAAAAGUAGAGGUUUCGAACAAUCGAUAAAGACAAACAAACAUUAUAUACUAUAUUUAAUCUUUUACAAAAACAUAUCUUUUGUUAUUUUAAUCGCCUUAUUUUAUGUUUAUAUUUUAAUACACAUGUUAAGAUACGAGUUUUACAAACCUGCUAGAAACUAACAAAUUCUAAGACAUGUCUUAAAUGGUAUGGUGUCUGAUUUUGAGGGCAGGUUGAGGAUUCUUACUUUAAGGUCUAUUCUUUUCAUAUGAUUAUAUACUGGCAAGUUUAGUAAAAACAAAUGUUUGACUUAUACUGUUUAGCUUGGCCUUAGCUGAGUAGUUACAGUAGUUCAUUUAGUGUAGUAAUAGGCUCACACUGAGAUUCUCAGUUGACACCCCGGAUGUGACAGAUGUGUUUGGCAAAACUUUUAGGAAUUUUGGUCCUCAAUGCUCUUCAACUUCGUACUUUAUUUGACCUUUUUAACUUUUUUGGAUUCGAGCGUCACUAAUGAGUCUUUUGUAGACGAAACGCGCGUCUGGCGUAUAUACUAAUUAAAAUUUAGUCCUGGUAUCUAUGAUGAGUUUAUUUACACCAAGCUUACAUUAGAAAAAUACACGUUUCUGAAAUAGCUUGAAUCACUCAUGCUGGAAAAAACCCGGCUAUAGAGUUUGUCCGUUACUGUAGUAGUAGUUUCUAAAUAAAGUAGUUAAGUUUCAGAUUGACUUUCACAUCUAUUAAGGGGUUUUCGCACACAAACCUUUGAACGAAAUGUGAUCAAACUGUAAAUGAUAGAAAAUGUGCAUUGCUGAACAUCGAGAUGUGAAUAUUUCACAGUCAUGACAGUAUAGAUGAAGAAAAAAAACGGUGAAUGUUGCAUAAUAAAAAUUAUGACCACCAAUGCAUGCAUAUGUUUCAGAACAAGCACAUUACAAUUAAAAUAAGUAGGCACUGUAAGUAGAUCAACUGAAUUCGACAAUCGUUCAAUUAUAUUACCAGUAAGCUUAGGGAGUAUAAAAAAAUGUGGUAUAAUUGACAAUGAGUCAACUGUCCACAAGAGACCAAAAUGACAAAGAAAUUAACAACUAUAGGUCACCGAACGGUCUUCAAUAAUGAGCAAAACCCGUACCGCAUAGUCGGCUAUAAAAGGCCCCGAAAUGACAUUGUAAAUCAAUUCAAACGAGAAAACUAACGGCCUUAUUUAUAUUAUUUAUAUAAAACAAUGAAGUAUAUCUUUACACUGUACUCGAACAUGGACAAAUGUCAUGCGGCAAGCGAAGCAUCUGCAAUAAUCUAGUUAAUGUCUCGACUGGUGUAGUAUCAUGUCAUGCUAAAAGUUUCAUGCACGUUGUUUAAUUUUACAUAUCUCUUAAUUCCUCCAUUGAAAUAUUGGUGACUGACCCUCUUUUAAACGACAGUUUAACCAGUGAAAUAAAAGGUUUUCCUUUUGCUUAUGCGGGAUGU
rnacentral:lncRNA from 1 species